AGUGAACGCUGGCGGUAGGCCUAACACAUGCAAGUCGAACGGCAGCACAGUAAGAGCUUGCUCUUACGGGUGGCGACUGGCGGACGGGUGAGGAAUACAUCGGAAUCUACUUUUUCGUGGGGGCUAACGUAGGGAAACUUACGCUAAUACCGCAUACGACCUACGGGUGAAAGCAGGGGAUCUUCGGACCUUGCGCGAGUGGAUGAGCCGAUGUCGGAUUAGCUGGGUGGCGGGGUAAAGGCCCACCAAGGCGACGAUCCGUAGCUGGUCUGAGAGGAUGAUCAGCCACACUGGAACUGAGACACGCGCCAGACUCCUACGGGAGGCAGCAGUGGGGAAUUGUGGACAAUGGGCGCAGGCCUGAUCCAGCCAUACCGCGUGGGUGGAGAAGGCCUUCGGGUUGUAAAGCCCUUUUGUUGGGAAAGAAAAGCAGCAGGUUAAUACCCCGCUGUUCUGACGGUACACAAAGAAUAAGCACCGGCUCACCUCG
rnacentral:rRNA from 1 species